AACGUAGGACGCAAGCGUUAUCCGGAGUUACUGGGCGUAAAGCGCGGGCAGGUGGUAUGCAAAGUCUGAUGUGAAAGCGCCGAGGCUUAACCGGGCGAGGCCAUUGGAAACUAGCAGACUGGAGUCUGGCAGAGGUAGGCGGAAUUCCGGGUGGAGUGGUGAAAUGCGUAGAGAUCCGGAGGAACACCAGAGGCGAAGGCGGCCUACUGGGCCAGUACUGACACUGAGCCGCGAAAGCCAGGGGAGCGAACGGG
rnacentral:rRNA from 1 species